GGGUUGUUAGCUCAGUCGGUAGAGCAGUUGACUCUUAAUCAAUUUGUCGCGGGUUCGAUCCCCUCACAACCCACCA
rnacentral:tRNA from 1 species